GAUGAACGCUGGCGGUAUGCUUAACACAUGCAAGUCGAACGGACUCUUCGGAGUUAGUGGCGGACGGGUGAGUAACGCGUGAGAAUCUGGCUUUGGGUUCGGGACAACCACUGGAAACGGUGGCUAAUACCGGAUGUGCCGAGAGGUAAAAGAGAAAUUGACUGAAGAUGAGCUCGCGUCUGAUUAGCUAGUUGGUGAGGUAAAGGCUCACCAAGGCAGCGAUCAGUAGCUGGUCUGAGAGGAUGACCAGCCACACUGGGACUGAGACACGGCCCAGACUCCUACGGGAGGCAGCAGUGGGGAAUUUUCCGCAAUGGGCGAAAGCCUGACGGAGCAAUACCGCGUGAGGGAAGAAGGCUCUUGGGUUGUAAACCUCUUUUCUUAGGGAAGAACAAAAUGACGGUACCUAAGGAAUCAGCAUCGGCUAACUCCGUG
rnacentral:rRNA from 1 species